UGAUGGCAUGAAAAUAAUUUUAAAACUUCUUUUAGAGAUACAAAUUCAUUCCAUACUAACUAUAGGCUUGACAAUCCUAAGAGGUCUGAAUCUGAACCGGAAAUUGAAAUUUAACCUCUUACGCCAACAGACACYAUAAAAUGUAUAAGGUAAAAAAUGAUCAUGCAUUAGGACGUGACGGCAGCAAUAUGUCUAAGGGUAAAACAAUAGAAAUUUUAUUUUCUCUGAGGAGUAAAUUUUCUAACUCAUGCAAAAGCAUUGAGUGAAAAACCGCUAUCAAUCCACAUAUUUSUUUCUAUAGCGCACUUGAAAACCCUCCACUGGCACAGCGCUACCGCAAAAGGCCUAAAAAUGCUACUAAAAAGGAAGAUAAAGGUAAAUUGUGGCGUAAAGCUUUAAACAAGAAAAGUCAUAAGACUAAGAGGGUUGAUAGUUCUCCAUCCAACAUAGUGACCAUCUUGUCUAGCCCAGAAAACAGUCCUCAAAAGACACGAGCUGAAUGUCCUCCUGUUGACAAAGUCACCGUUUUGUCCAGCUCUGAAAACAGUCCUCAAAAGCCACGAGUUGAUUGUUCUCCUGUUGACAAAUUCAUCAGGACAACACACGCGAGGUUUAGCUCCUGUUAGUUUACAACAGCAACAACAACUCCUACAGCAGCAGUCAAGAGACAAAUCUACAACACAUCAUACGCAACUUAGGCCGAAUAGGCACAAUCCAUUCGCCCCUUCUCCUGGUUAUCCCAACCCUCUUUAUGGUAGUUAUAUGGUCUACUUCCUGCAAUUCUGUCCACCACAAGUAAAAUCGUGUUUCGGGUGUGGACAAGCUUUAAAACCAGGGGGUAAAAUUGGUAACCUCCCACAUGAUCUAGUCAUUGUAUCUAACACGACCAGGUCAUAUUACGAUCAGGCAGGACUACUGAGAGAUAGACCUGGGAAUGUAUAUUACCACGUCAACAGGGGCUGUCUUAAAAGGCAACAGGCUUAUUUUGUUUCAUCGUUAGUCCAAAUACCUCGGGUUAUCAGGGAUAUGCUAAAUCAGGCACACCGUAGUCAUUUAAUGGAGUUUGGUUUAGUUUUGUAAUGUUUUGCUGGUAGUGUUUGGAUCAGUUUAGCUCCAAACACCAAAUCUGAUGAAAGCAUAAG